UGAAUGUUAAAUGAGAAACUGCUAAUGCUAGCGCGACCAAGACUCAGACUAAAGAGAAACUGACGAGUUCCGGACUGCUCUAGUGGGCGAAUUGCUUUGAAUUGUUCUGUUUGAUACAAGACUCCGACGGAAGAUAAUGGAUGGAUGGAUGGAUGGUUUUUUUUUUAAUUGCUGGAUCUACAUCGGAGUGACAGCGUUGAUGUCAAGGAGGAUUCGGCCUGAUUCAAGGCGGGAUUGAAAACGACCAUUUUUCUUCAACUUCAACCAACUUUUGGAGCAUUACCCUGGGAGCAGAUAAGCUCACCUUCACUACAACAUCUUUCAUACUAUAUACAGUCACACUACCCGGGUAGUACACACAUACACUGAAUAGGAGAACGGACAUUGAAGCACGGCAGCAAUUGGCUGUGAAGGGACGAUUCGACCAAGUAAUAUUUUUGAUUUACAUAGUUCAGGUGUUGUUAUAUAUAUAUAUAUAUAUAUAUAUAUGUUGUAUAAUAGUUUAAUAAAUGUCGUGUUGUAUAUUUUUCCUAGUCCCUCUUGCUCCUUGAGUCGAACCUAGGUAUAAUAAGGUGUUCCAUUCGUAGCAGCACCAAAAGAAAAUUACCGUGUUACAUGUGCAUUAUUUACAACAACCAUACUUACGGACAAAUCUUGUCCAAGGAUCAUAUAAGCACAACAUUACAACGUAGGCGUCAGCCCUGCAGCCAUAUUGAACUGGCAAGACAACAAUAAACCAUGUCGCAAAGCGACCACAAGAGUUCGCUGUUAGACAGCACAAAAACCUUGCUGUAAAACUUACCAAAAGGCAGAAUACUGUCUGAGCGGGACACGUGCGUUAAUUGCGUCAAAUAUUUUAACGUGAUUAAUUAAAAAAAUUAAUUGCCGCGCGUUAACGCGAUAAUUUUGACAGCCCUAAAAUAAAUGAAUGGAAACGCUGCCUCUAUAAUCAGCUCAAUCUUUCAUCACUGUACGUUAUUUUUCUUUUUUUAAAUGCCCAGUUAUUCUUUUGCAAAAGUUGAGGCCUUCCACUUUCAAACUCCUGUGAGUACUUGAUAGUUCACAAAAGCAAAUUGGAAUCACAUUGACAUCCAGCGACGCCUGCUAGAGUUCAGCAAACAUAAUGGUCUCAUUAGGAGUUUCAUGCUUGCAUAUUUGCAUGCAAACGUAACUUUUUUUUAAAGCCUCCCUGUAUUAUUUAUUUAUUUUUGGUGCAAUGUUGUUGAAGUACUUGUGUAACAGUUGGCUGCACUAGCUUAUCUCCAACUGCUGUGACAGUAUUAAAAUCUUCAUGUGGCGAACGUCGAAGCUGAUUGCGGAUCGGAUGGCGGGGGCGUGAUUUAAGGGAAAACAGACAUUUGGUGUUUCCCAAAAAAGUUUUUGUCCCGAGCUGACACGGAUGUGACAGAAGGAAGGCGAGACAUGCUUUAGUCGUUUCACCUUAAAAAAUCUCUGUAGGAGAGGUCAUAUCCUUAGAUCACCCUUUAGUGGGCUAUGAAAUUGGGAGAGCCAGCCAAGUCACACAUUUUCAGUAGGUCUGGACUACAGGCUCGUACUCACACUCUUUAAAUGUAAACCUUUCAGUAUUGUGCCGUCACAGAUGUGAAAGUUACAUAUGCCAAGGGCACUUGCACACUUCCUUACCACCAAUGAUGGACUUUACAGACUUUAUAAGAAUCCAGACGGUCCUUUUCUUCUUUGGCCUAAAGAAAAUGACACAAUGUCCAUUAUUUUCGAACUCAAUUUGAAAAGUGGACUUUUUAGACCACAGCAGCACAAUGUGUGAACAUUAAAGUGCGUACGACAGGAGAAAAAAAGUCUUAAAUAGGAUUAUUAUGUGAAUUAGAAUCAUAUUUUGAGACGAUUCGACUAUAUACAACAAUUUAGCAAAGCGCAGAUGACGAGAAAUUAGUCUUUUAAUCUGCCGGUUAGCCAUGCCUACCAUUAUAGGGCGCUAGCGUCCCCGACAGGUGGAUGACGUCAGCAGAGUCACGAUUUAAUCUGAUUUAGUAUGCAGUCCAUUAAGGGGGAAUUAUUUACAAUAAAGAUGUCCCGAUCGAACGGGAUCGGGUCCGAUCACGUCAUUUUCAAAGUAUCAGAAUCGGCAAAAAAAUAUCGGACAUGCCUUUUUUAAAUAUAUAUAUUUUUAUUAAAUCGUUUUCUAAUUGUAUUUAACGUUACAGACAAAAUGUCUUACACUCAUCCAGAGUCUUUAGUUUUGGCUUAAAGUAGGGCUAUCAAAUUUAUCGCGUUAACGGCGGUAAUUAAAUUUAUUUUUAAUUAAUCACGUUAAGAUAUUUAACGCAAUUAAUGCAUGCGCUGCACGACCCACUCACGCAUUGUCGCGUUCAUUCUAUAAUGGCGCCAUUUUACCUAUAUUUAGAGCUAAAGGCAGCUUAAAAUGAGUAGAGCGAAUUUUGUCUUUGUAGCCUUUUUUUUAAAUGGCUACAGCCUUACAAUCCCUCUCUCAUUAAUUAGAAAUAUCGUGGGAAGAAAGGUAAUAGUUUAUCUUUUUCUUAACACCUUAUGUUAGUUCCCAAUGCAGAGAAGAUAUAUCAAUUGGUGCCACUAUGCACAGUCAUGGUUGCACUUCCCAUCAUGCAUUUGGGCAGAACAGGUAAAUGGCUACAGUAUCAUUUACUGAAAGCUCAACAAAUACACUAGAUGGCAAUAUUUAGUCACAAUAUACAAAGUCACAUUCAUCCUUUAAGAAUUACAAGUCUUUCUAUCCGUGGAUCCCUCUCGCAGAAAGAAUGUUAAUAAUGUAAAUGCCAUCUUGAGGAUUUAUUGUCAUAAUAAACAAAUGCAGUACUUGUGUACUGUAUGUUGAAUAUAUAUAUUCGUCCGAGUUGUAUUCAUUUUUUUCUUGAUGCAUUGCCAAAAUGUAUAUGAUCGGGAAAAAUUAUUGGGAAUGAUUGGAAAUGAAUUGGGAGCAAAAAAAAAAAAGCAAUCGAAUCGGGAAAUAUCGGGAUCGGCAGAUACUCAAACUAAAACGAUCGGGAUCGGAUCGGGAGCAAAAAAAUCAUGAU